rnacentral:lncRNA from 1 species
UUAAGACUAUUGUGCAUGCAUAUAUUUUAUUGUUUAUAUUGUUAGGGCAUGAAAUAUGAAACCAGGAAAAGCUUAGCUACCGUUUGGUUCGAAGUUAAGGAAAAACCAGUUAUUUCAGGAAUAGGGUUAAGUUCAGAGUUAAGGUGGGAUUAGAGUAUUUUUGUGUUUGGUUGGGGGUUGGAGUUAGUCGAGGAUAGUGAAAAAUAGUGUUUGGUUGGAGUAGGUGGGAUAAGAAGGAUAGUGAGUUUUUAUGAAUAGAAAAUAAUAUUUGGUUGGGGUUUGGUGAGGUUAGGUGGUGUUAGCUAACCUGGAUAGCCCAUUUGAGGUGUCCACCCAUUUUUUAGGGUGUUUGGAGAUAAUAUGGGGGUACGUUUGGUUUCACGUAAAACUGUAAAAAAAAAUUUUGAAGAAAAAUUAAAUUUUAUGCUCUCUAGUGUUUGAUUUAUAAGAAAAAAAAAUUGUUAUGAUUGUUUGGUUGAAAGAAAAAUUAUAAAUAGAAAAUUAUUAUAUAUAAAUAUUUUUUUAUUGUAUAUAUUAUAUAUUAUUGAUAUAUAAUAAUUAUCAUAUUACAUAUAUUAGUAUUAUAGUUUAUAUUUAUAAAUAAAAUAUAUUAAAAAUACAUUAUAUAAUAAAUAUAUUAUAUAAUAUAUAAUAAUAUAUAUUUAAUAUGUAAUAUAAAAAAUAAAUUACUAAAUAUUUAUAUAUCUAUAUAUAGAAGCAUAUAGGAAUUUCGAUAAUGACAGACAGAAUUAAAAAAGGAAUAAAAAAUAUUUUCUAUAUUUUCUACGAACGGAUACGAACGGGUAUGACCACUUAAUUAAAAAAAAUUUAAAUAAGAACGAACGGUUAUGAUUAAUUUGUUAAAAAAUAACAUUUUUAUCAAUCUAUAAAGAAAUUCCUAUAUGCUUCUAAAAAUAUUCCAUAUAUUUUCUACAAAUAAGUAUGAUCAUUUAAUUAAAAAAAUCUAAAAUAAGAAUGAACGGUUAUGAUUAAUCUGUUAAAAAAUAGCAUUCUUAUUCAUUUAUAAAUUUAAUCUUACGACGGUUAUGUCAAUUAAAAAUGAUCGGUUCACUUAAUUAAAAAAUCCUCAAAUAAGAACGAACGGUUAUGAUUAAUCUGUUAAAAAAUAGCAUUCUUAUCCAAAAAUUUUAAUUAUAGUGGAUCAAAAUUAAAUUUUAAAUUUUAAAAUAAAUAUAAAUUAAAU